UUAGCAGAUGGUGGUACCAUAUAUAUUUUAGAAUAUGGUGGUACACAAAAUAGUGUAAUUUCAACACUUAAAUUUGACAAUUACCAUUAUAUUGUCAUAGUAGUAGCUGGGAAGAAUAAAUUAAAGAUAACAAGGAAAAUAACAUCUUCAUUCACCAACGGGUUAAGAAUAUAACCAACAAGAAAUCAAUUUGAUGGUGUCCACAGAGGAGAAAAGAAAAUUUGACCUUAACUUCAGGCAACUUCCUUAAUAUUCUUUUUUCCUUCAAUUGCUCUGCAUUGUUUAGCUAAAAUUGCAGUCGUGGAAUGUGUAUUAUUGUCUUCUUUCUCAGAGAUAGAUCGCUGGCAUUAUUCUUCGUGAAUUAUCUUACCGUGGAGCAGCACUGGCACCCACCGUGGCUGUGGUGGGACUGGGAGCAGCAGUCGGACAGCCACGCCGGGUAUGGGUACAAGUACGACCAGGGUAGGGGACAUUCACCACCUUGGGUGAUGCUGGGACCGGCUUCUCCUCCUUGGAUGGUGGCUGUAGAUCCCGUGGGAGCUUCAAGCGGCGACGCUGCACGGAACCGUCGUCGAUGUUGCCUUCAGCGAGAUUUCUCGGAGAUGGUGACCGUUGCCGCCGCCGAUGGUCUCUUCAGUGAGUUAGUGGAGCCCGAAGCCAGGACCUUCGUGUUGUCCUCCGCAACGAUCCACAUCAGCCUCUUCCGGUGCCAUCUGCAGGCGCGCGGGGUGAGGGGAGGAGCGAGGAAGGGGGCGAAAGUAUAAAGAAGAAGAGAAGCAGGCAAUGCACGGAUGAGGGCGUCACGCGUAGCAGGCGGCAGCUAGGGCGAGGACGCUGGCUAUCCGGGAGGAGGCAGGUCAAAUCGGUUGAAGUCUUGGGCGGAAGAGGGGGAGGCUGCAGUUGUCUGCGGGGGCGAGGACGCCGGCAAUCUGGGAGAGGUAGGCCAAAUCGGCGGAAGUCUCGGGCCUGCGAGGAGAGACAGAUGUCGGGCGGGGGC
rnacentral:lncRNA from 1 species